ensembl:snRNA U6 U6 spliceosomal RNA
GUUUUUGGCAGCACAUACACUAAAAUUGGAGUGAUACGGAAAAGAUUAGCAUGGCUCCUGCACUACAAUGACACAUUCGUGAAGCGUUCCAUAUUUAA